CACUCCACUCUAUCGUAGGCAUUGCUUAAGUCUAACUUAAGAGCUACCAGCCCAUGUUUUUUCCCUUUGUUAUGUCUAAUCUUAUGCAAGCACUCGUAUCCCACAAUGAUAUUAUCGGUGAUCAUCCUAUUGGGGAUGAAAGCACUUUGAGAUGGGGAAAUUACAUGGUUAAGCAUAUCUUUUAACCUAUUUGCAAUUGUUUUAGCUAUGACUCUAUAAAUAACAUUGCAAAGGCUUAUCGGCCUGAAAUUCGUCACUCUCUCAGGCUUUUGAAUAUUUGGAAUCAAGACAAUAUGAGUGUGAUUUAGCGGGGAGAUUAUACCUUUAUCAUUCAAGAUGUAGAGGCUGGUGGAGAUAACACUUGACUUCACUGAUUUCCAAUGCUUCUGGAAAAAAGCUGCAGGCAAACCAUCAGGUCCGGGAGCUUUUGUUGGGCACAUCUGAGCAAGAGCUGCUGUCACUUCUUCUUCUAUAAAAGGCCUAUCUAGUUGUUCAUUCAUCCCUGCACUCACCUGCGGCUUUAGGCUUUCCAAAGCUGCUUCAAUUUAUACCUCUGUUGGAUUUGAAGAUGUAAACAACUUUGCAAAGUAUUCGUGGAAUUCCUUUUCAAUCUCGUCCUUGUCUUCAGUCCAACCCUCCUCUUGGUUUAAAAUGCCCCCAAUCUAGUUCUUUUUUUUCCGCGACGAAACUUUGAGGUGAAAAUAUUUCAUGUUUUUGUCCCCUUCCAUGAGCCAAUCGGCCCGGGAUCUUUGCUUCCAGUAAACCUCUUCAUCUAGCAGAAGCAUUUCAAUCUGAUCUUCAGUGCUUUUGAAAUCUUUCGCUUCUUUAAAAUGCUGAUAAUUGAGCUUCAUAUCACCGAGCUUUUUCUUUAGCCUUUUCAGCUUUUCCUUUCUGUUGUUGAAUUCUUUCUUGCUCCAUGCCAGCAACCUUCCUAUUGAGCAAUUGGCUGCCUUCUGAAAAGAUUGCACAGGAUCCCUAUCGUACCGGCUGCCCCGUUGCCUCAAUUCUUCCUCCACAAUCUGCCUACAUUCUUCAUAAUGACUCCACAUGUCUUCAUAGUGAACCCUUGGCUUCCGUUUUCUUUUAAAGCACAUGAACCUUUUUUGGUCUUGCAUUUCCAGCAUGAUAGGGCUAUGAUCGGAACCCCAAGAGAUUAAAUUUGAAACCAUCAAAUCAAAAGAACUGCUCCUUCAGCCCUCACUCCCUAGAAAUCUAUCAAGCCUUUCUUCAACAUAAUGCGGCCCAAAUCUCCUAUUCAACCAGGUAAAAGGGUAUCCCCUGCACCCUAAGUCCAUCAGCUUACAAUCAUUUACAGCCUCUCGAAACUUUGUUAUCAUAUUCAAGUUCCUUUCUCUACCCCCCAGCUUCUCUUUUAAAUCCAAAAUUUCAUUGAAAUCCCCGAAACAAAGCCAUGGAAGAGUGAACAAACCUGCCAACCCCCUUAAAAGUGUCCAUGUGUGUCGUUUUUGGCUGUUCUCUGGGUGCCCAUACACCCCAGUACAUCUCUAUUUCAUCCCCUUUGCUCCUUGAACUAUAGCGUCUAUGUGGUGAUUACUGUACGAGGCAAUAGCUACAUUCACGUCGCUGCUCCAUAACAGUGCUAGACCGCCUCCCAUACCUUUCCUACUUACAUUAAAACAAUUAUCAAAACCCAACACUUUACUCUUAUCCGUCAUUUGCCCAGGCUUCAUUCUUGUUUUGCAUACAAAAAGAAUUUGCGGCCUGUGCUCUUGGAGAAUAUCCCUUAAUGCAAGAAACGUCCGAGUAUUCCCCAAACCUCGGACGUUCCAACUUAUUAUUUUCAUUGCUGUCGGCGGGGCUGGAUUCCAGCCUCCGCCGAUAUCUUAAUUCCCGUCUUUCUUCCUGCUUUUGCUACUUCCAUAGCUCUUUCUUCCCAACUCAGCUUGAGCUUUGCUGAAGGGGAUCCCUCCCUAACUCUGCUUAAUGUGUUCGUGCUUGGGCUUGAGAGCUUCAACUUUUUAUUUUGUGGGCUAGAAAUUAUCUUUUCACAAUUGGCCCUCUUAGCAUUUUUCAGAACGGCUUUGGAGUUUCUCGAAGCUUGGGCCCCUCGGGCCUGGUUUUUCCAUCUUCUCCAUUUAGCUUUGGGCUUCUUUGGAAAAGACCCAUUAUCCACUACCUCUUCAACUAAACUCAUUUGGGUUGAUGCAAGUUGGUGUGUUUCUCGGCCCGUUUGAGAAUUUUGAGAAUUUUGGUUCCCUUCCUUUCCCUCCACAUUUUUAUUUCCACUCAUAAUUCCCGCCAUUUGACCCAUAUUUUCAGGCUUUUCUCCUAACACAGCUGCGACAAGCUGAUUUUCCCUGCUGAUUUGAUCUCGUCUCGAUUGUGUCCCUUGAGGCAUUAAUGAGUUGUCAGUUUCCACUUCCAUGUGUCUUAAUCUCAUUAAAUAAUUGUUGGCUGCAUCUUUGCCUUGCCCUGCCCCUGACCCGUUUUCUUCUGUCGGGUUUGGAUGUUGGUGGUGGUGGGUUUCUAUGUUUUCCGAGUUUUCUGAUCUUCGAUACUCCCUUCUAUCCUUGUCUUUGCUCUUCUGGAACCUCAUACGAUCUGCUAACGGGACUGCUUUUAACCAUGCCCCAUAUGCCAAACUCUCUUUUGGUUGGCCCUUGUACUGUGCGCACUCUCUAAACUGAUGCCUGAUAUGACCGCAACAGAAACAGUAAUCUGGCAGCUUCUCAUAAACCACACCCACCACUAUCUCUUCUCCAUUUUCUUGUUGAAUUCUAAGGACCUUUUUCAGCCUUUUUGUGAUGUCUAUUGAGAUUCUGACACGUAUAUAUUCCCCAAAACAAUCUCCUGUUUCAUCAGUGGCUACAUCUUCCACUCUCCCAAUCUUUGAGCCCAUUUCUCGUAUUGUAUUAAUUUGCAUACACAUCAGAGGCACAUUGUAUAGUUGAACCCAGAAAGAGACAUGUGAGAAGGGUUGGUCUGCGACAUUUCCUAUCCCUUUGGGUUCCUCCAAAACAAUGAGGGCUCGAUCGAAGUGCCACGGCCCUCCCAUUAGCACUCUCCUUUUAUCUUCUUCUGAAUAGAACUUGAACAUGAAGAUUUUGUAUCGCAAGCUUUCUACCUUAAUCGUACCCACUGGACGCCAUGCUUGUUAAAGAGCAGCUUUGACUCCUUCAUGGCUGAUACCUCUCGUGGAAAGGAUUUUCCCCACCAGGCAACCUGCUGCUAUUUUUUCCCCUUUUGCCUUCAUACUACCCCCAAAUAUGACUUUGUCCUCCUCCUCUUCCUCCAAUGUUAUCGCACUGCAUUUUCUAAUUAAUUCUUCCGUUUCCAUCAUUUUAAAACAAACCCCCCUUGCUUUAAAGAAGAGUACAGGAUCUCACCAACCUCCCCUUUUGACUUCCUUCUUACAAACUCAAGAAAAGGGUUUAUAAAGAUCAAUGAAAACGAAAAAGAAACAGAACUAUAAUGACGCUCACCUACUGAGCACCUUUCCGGAUUCCACAAAUCCGAUCCUAGCUCCCAUUUGGUGUUUUUUCGUCAGAGAGAAAAAGCACACAAAGAGAGAAGUUGACAUGUUAUUAAUUGAAUGACUUGAAAGCCGUUAGACUUUGACAAAUUGACACAUAUCUAAGUUGAUUAGUACAAGCAAUGUUAAUCCAUCCUCUAGAUUGACCAGACUUGUCCGUGAUCACCAUCAUCAAAUCGUUCUUAGCCAUAGUAAAGGCCCCGGGCUAGCAGCGAGCGUGUCAGCCACGCGCCACUCCUCCUGCAGCCACAAGCACUUUCACCACCUUCGUAAAUGGGCUGCCGAUCGAAGGCCUGCUUCUUGUACCUCUGGAUCCCGAUCAGAAAUAUUGCUAAUGCCUUUGCCGAUACUCCCAAGUCCUAUUGCCCAGCCAACAUCAACUCUUGCUUGCUAUUAUUUAUUGGCACAUCAAACAAAAAACUAAAUAUAUUAUAUAUUUAAAUAUUGUAACGGAUCGAUACAAGUUAUUGUCAUUUAAUUAUUAUCAUUUUAAUAUUUAAAUUAUAUUAAUAUAUUUUUUUAAAAAAAGUAUUUCAUAUGACAUUAAAUUAUAUCAAAUAACAAGUAGGGAGAAUAUAUGUUUUAUUCUUAAUAAAUGUCAUAUUUAUCAUUUACAUCGCUAUUAAAUUUUUAAUUACAUAUUUCAUCUCUUUUAUCAAGAGAUAAUAAUAUUUAGUUUGUAGAAGAUGGUUUAGCCUUAACAUGGCAUUUCAUCACAUCGGUUGGAAAAAAGCUAAAAAAAAAAAAAAAUCACAAAGUCUUACAACAUUGCAUACAUGGUCUUGAGACUCCAACUAAAUAUUAAUUAACAGACCUCCUCUUUUGAUUCAUCCUCCAAAACUUUCUUGUACACAAAUCUUUUAGCAAUCCAUAUAAAAACACAUAAAUUCAAAGCGCUUAAUCCUGCCAACACCCAGUAAAAAUAAUCAAGAUGUGCCCGAUUGAGGUUGUCGACUAGCCAACUUCGGUGGGUAAUUGCUUCAACAACUUCAAUCACACCAGUGUUGAUAAAGCUUCCAACUCCAAUUAUGCUAAUAUAAGCUGCAGCCCCUAUGCUUCUCAUUGCUUCUGGCAUUUGAUCAUAGAAUAAUUCUUGCAAUCCCACAAUUCCAAAAACAUCACAUAUUGAAACUAAAAGGUAUUGUGGGAGUAGCCACCAAAUGCUUAUUGGCACUAUUGCUUUCGGAGAAUCAAUUAGGCCAUUUUCUCUUGCUGUGCGGACCCUUUUGGCUUCUACUAGAGCAGCUACAAUCAUAGUAAGUAUUGAUGUAAACAAACCAAUGCCUAUUCUUUGUAGCAUGGUUAUACCGGAACGAUGUCCGGUGAUUCUCCGGGCCAACGGGACAAAAAUCCGUUCAUACACGGGGACAGCGACGAGAAUGGAGAGGCCUACAAGGCUUUGAAGUGAAGCUGGGGGUACUUGAAAGUUUGAUCCAAUGGAUCUUCUCAUUGUGCUGCCUUGCUUGGUGAAAAAUGUGUGGAGUUGAACAAGUAUGCAACUGAACAUUAAGCAACUCAGCCAUAUGGGGAUCAAUCGUAUGACAAGCUUCACUUCUUCUACCUGGUUUAGUGAACAUAGCCUCCAAGGAUUCCUUUCUCUGCUUGCCAAAUCAAUUUCAUCUAUGAUCAUUGCCUUGUCCAAAAAUCUGCAAAGUUUCGGUAAUAAUUGUAAGAUUUGGACGCAUAUAGUUUUAUAAAAUAUAAAUUUCCUCAUAGUUAAUUCAUACUACUCCCAAGUGCCAGCUUGAGCUAUAAUAAUUUGACACUAAUUUGACAUUGAAUUACUAUAAAAUGAAUUGAACCUAAGUUGACUUGAAAAUUGUAAGAAUUUGACAUGUGACACAUACCUAAGUUGAUUAGUACGAGCAAUAGUCCUUUUAGAUUGACCAAUAUCAGUCCUUUUAUCGUCAUCAUCUAGUUCAUGGCCAUGGUAAAUGCCCCGGCCACCACCGUGCGUUUCACUCACGCGCCACUUCCGCGCUGUGGCCACGAACACUUGCGCCACCGUGGUAAAUGGGCUGCCGACGGGGGCCUGCUUCCUGUACCUCUUGAUUCCGAUCAGAAAUAUUGCUAAUGCCAAUGCCAAUGCACCCGCCAUUACUCCAAAUCCUACAGCCCACCCAACAUUGUCCUACAUAAUAUUUCAUUCUAUCAAUGCAACAAUUAUUUAUAAUGAGCAUGCAUGACCAUGAAUUUAUAAUAGAAUAGUAUCCUUAAUUUAAAAAAAAAUUAUUGAAUUAAAAUUAUUUGUCAUCAAAUAUAUAUAUUUACUGGGAAAAUUGACCAAAACCCCCUGUAGUGUUUUUUAAUCAUUUUGUAUCUCAUCGUCAAUUAAUAAAAAAAUACAAGAUAAAAUAGUUAAAGACACGAAACAUGGUUUGCAAAUUAAUAAUUUUUUUAAUAGAAUUUUGAACUGAAGGGGGAUGAUUAAUUUCGAUGAGCAAGGAAAGUGGAUUUUCAACCAUAGAAUAAAGAAUAAUCUUCGAUUUAAAUAUACAGUGGACUAAAAUUAGAUAAAGGUCCAAUUAUUAGUCAUCAUAAAAUAUAUAUGCAUUUAUUAGGGGUGGACAAAAAAACUGGUGUCUACUAAAAAUUGAAUUAAAUCAGUGUUUUAUUUUGGUUUGAUUCGGUUCUAAAAAGUAAUAAAAAUCGAUAUGUUUAUAAAAAAAAAAAUCAAAAAACGAAAAAACUACAAAAUACAAAGAAAUUAACUGAAAAAGAAAAAAAAAUCGAACCAAUCGGUUCUUUUCGGCUCGAUUUAUAUAUUAACCAAAAGUCAAUCACUUCAGUUCAAUUUGAAACUGAAUUGAAUCAAGCUAAUCCUUGCCUAUCCCUAGGACUAUUUACCUGAAGGUAAAUGGCGACCAAAACAGCAGCAGAAGCGCCAAACACAAUUCCUAAGUACCACCAAUUAAAGAAAGAGCUUUUGGCAUCCUUGUCCUUUGGGUUUCUUUCAUCAAAUUGGUCUGCUGCAAAUGUUUGUACACAUGGCUUGUGCCCACCUUCCCCCACCGCCAAUAUGUAAAGCGCUGUGAAAAACACAGCUUUCCGAUAAUGCAAUGGAAUUACUGAGACUGCUAGUGACAGCAGAACCAUUCCCUGUUACAGAAUUAACCAGUCGUUCAUACAUAGCCUUGAAUGUUAAAUAAAGAUGACGAGAUUGUGCAAAAACGCAUAUCAAUUAGGGUGGCCAAUUAAAUAAAAGUGCUUUUUGAAAGUUUAAUUAAUAAACGAUGAUGAGAUAACGAAAGGUGAUCAAAGAGUUAAUAUAACAAACUGACCAUGAAAUAUAUAAAGGAUGAAAGAAGAAUGGUGUUGAAUCGACCAAGGUAAGAAUCGGCAACGAAAGCUCCCAAUAAUGGGAAAAUUGAAGAGAUGCCAACCCAAUUAUUAACAUCUUGGGCUGCCGUUGCUGUGGGUUCAUUUAGAACAUUUGUCAGAUAUUGUAUCAGAUUACCAGCCAGGCCAUAGUAAGCAAACCGCUGUGCCAUCUCAACCACUGCAUGCAUGCAAGCAAAUUCAUAAGUUAAUUACAUUAAAAUCAUAUGAAAUAGAAAAUAACAAAUUCAGAUAAUGAAAGCUGUUUGUUUUUAUGCAUACUGAUGAUGAAAAUGGCAGCGUUCCAGCCACCCUUUGAGGAUAUCUUGUGGUGGGAAACUUUGUUUUCUGUGUGUUCAAUACCAUUUUCAGUUGCUAUUGGAGCUACAGCUACUGAACUAUCCAUGGAAGAUAGAUUUGUUUUGAGGAAAAAAAUAAUCUUGAAAAGAAAAAGUGUUGAGACUUUGAGCACCUUAGUCUAUGCCUUUUAUAGGGACUAAACGUACUGUACAACUGAGAAAGUGUAGCGGGGACUUAUUACUUGCAAAUUCAGUAAAGGUAAUGAUAUUAAUGCUUUCUUUUUCUUUUUACUAUUUAAACUCGAGUUUGGCUACAAUGACGUUGGCAUUGUACCCGGCACCAUGCCGGGCUCUCAAAAAGAGAGCCAGGCUGUCUUUGGCUGCCAUUUGGCAGCCAAACACUUGGUGCAGCCGGUUAACAAACCGGUUGCACCAUUUUUUUAAAAAAUAUAUAUUAAAAAUAUAAUAUAAAAAUGAAAAAUUAAAUAAAAUGUCAAAAAUAAUUUUUUAUAAUAUAAUUAAUAGCAAAAGAUAAAGAAAUUAAAUAAUAUAAUAGAAACACUAUAAUACAAUAUAAUAUAAUAAAAUAAAAUGGCAAAAAAUAAAGAAAUUGAAAUGAAAAAAAUAGUAUUUCAGGUUUAACGUCAGUUGUUGCAUCUCCGACGUCUCGAUUGCAUGUUUGACGUAAGAUGUUGCAUGUGUUGAAUAAAACUAAAAUAAAGAAUAUUCUAAAAUAUUCUCGUCCGUUUCAUGUUUGACGUCGAAGUUGCGAAUUUUAGGUGAUAAGUUGCAUAUUUCGCGUGAAGUGUUGCAAGUUUCAUGUUUAACGUCAGUUGUUGCAUAUUCGACGGUUGGAUUUCAUGUUUGAUGUAAGAUGUUGCAUGUGUUGAAUAAAGCCAAAAUAAAGAAUAUUCUGAAAUAUUCUUGCUCGUUUCAUGUUUGACGUCCAUGUUGCGAACUUUACGUGAUAAGUCGUAUAUUUCACGUGAAGUGUUGCAAGUUUUAUGUUUAACUUCAGUUGUUGCAUGUCCGGCGUAACGGUUGGAUGUUUGACGUAAGAGGUUGCAUGUGUUGAAUAAAGCCAAAAUAAAGAAUAUUCUGAAAUAUUCUUGCUCGUUUCAUGUUUGACGUCCAUGUUGCGAACUUUACGUGAUAAGUCGUAUAUUUCACGUGAAGUGUUGCAAGUUUUAUGUCUAACGUCAGUUGUUGCAUGUCUGGCGGUAGGAUUUCAUGUUUGACGUACGAUGUUGCAUGUUUUGGAUAAUGCCAAAAUUCUCGAUUAUUCUUGGCCGUUUCAUGUUUGACGUCCAUGUUGCCAACUUUACGUGAUAAGUUGUAUAUUCCACGUGAAGUGUUAUAAUGAAUUAUGUUUUUAAAAUACAGUUUGACCUCAAAACUGUAUGAAACUAUGUUAUGACCCAAAACAUUAUAAAAUUUUUCAUAUAGGUCCAAUUUCAGAAUUUCUAAUUAUUACUUUAUUAAAACCAAAACUUUCUGAAAUUAAGAUAUGAUCCAAAAUAUGAGAAAUUAUAGAAUAACUGAAAACAUUUAAAUAUUUUUAAAUAGGUCCAAAUCCGAAAUUCAAAACAUUAAUUUAUUAAAAUAAAAGAUUAUGAAAAACAACUUAACUCCAUAAAAACAUAUUCUUAUUGUAAAAGCACAAUACAUAAAUCUUUAUUUAAUCAACACAUGUGGUUUGUUAUCGAAAUCUCAAUACAGCACAUUAGUCCAAAAAUAUCCAAAGCAUACGGAAAUAACAUAUUAUCCAUGAAAUAUCAAACAAUAAAAAAAAAUCCAUAUCAUUCAUAACAAAUACAUAAUCCAAAAUCAUAAUGAAAUGUAGGUGUGUCCAAAUACAAGAAUAAGAGACUAUUGAGGUGGUGAGGAUGGUGGUGAUGGAGGUGGAUACAGAUAUGGAAUGCCGAAGUGCUCAAAGAGGAGGCGUUGUCCAUGAAUAAGCUGUUGCUGCUGCUUGUGAAACUCAGUCUGCCGCACAGAGAGUGUCCUCACCUCAUCCAUAAGCUGCUGAAGAGUAACUUCUUCAGAAGUAGGAGGCUCGGGAUGUGGUAAAGCAGGUGCAAAGGCUGCAGGAGCUGAGGGAGAGACUAAAGGAGCUCGACGUCUACGCUGACCCCGAAAUGAAAGCGAAAAAUCAGGUAGCUGAUGGGCUGGAACCACAGCAUUAAGUGGCCGAUCAUCACUUAGAGCAAGAAAGGUGAACUUAUUAUCAGCGACUUUCACCCAAGUGCCAUUACGACACUCAAAACCUAAAGAACUAACAGCCUCAUCCCCAAUGCUCUUAGAUGGCCUACAUGAUGGUUCUUGGAUAGGGACGCUAAAGUAUUUGAGGAUUCGGGUUAUGAAAUGACCAUACGGAAUGGAACGAGUAAUCAACUUAGGUAUACUAAGCAUGUUUCGGACAAUGGUGUAUCCUAAGUCGACUGGACGAUGUCUAAGAAUACAAUCAAUCAAGGAAACAUCCAUAUGAGAAACCUUAUCCAAAUGGCCUGAUCUAGGAAGCAUAAUACUCUGAAUAAAACGAAGUAAUAUCUGAGUUUGAAGACAAAGACAUCGGGUGCGAAAAUGAAUAGUAUAAUCGUCAUCCGAAAGGUCAAUACGACGACAUAUAUUCUUAACAGCAUCAAAUAUGAACAUAGUCAUCAAUAUCAGGAGGUUUCCUAGGUGAAACAAUUUUUAGGCCAUCAUCAGAAGUUCUUAGGAUAGAGUUCAACUCUGAAUCAUCAAAUUCAAUCGAAACUCCUCUAACUAUGGUGAUUACUCGAUUCUCUUUUUCCGCGGAACAAUCCAUAUUCGAGUAAAACACUUUCACCAAGUCGGGAUAUACAUUUUCCUAAAAAACAAUUGCAUUAAGCCAACCAACAUCUUCCAACAAUUGCAAUAAAGUUCUAUUGCUAAUACUAAGAUUAUUCAACCAAUCCGGUAAAACAAAAAAGGUUUAGAGUACCUCACGAGUCAUGACCUGUUGGUCAAAUCGUUUGGCUAGAUGUUUGUGGUUCUGAAAGUGUAUGGCCUCAAAGUUGGCUUGAUUGGAGGUGCCCCCUGCUUGUCGUGACCAGUUGGUAUGUUGAACCGAUUUUUUGCCUUUUCUUCGAACCGGCCGUGAGCUUGACAUGGUGAGUUUGAUUAAUUUAAAGUGAAAUAAAUCAAUGAGAAGGGAGAUAAUAAGGAUGGAAAGAGAUUUUGAGAAGCAAUUUCGAUAAAAAAUGGCUUGAGAGGGAAAAAUCUAGAGAGAGAAGUUUCAGCUUAAACCCUAGAAUCGAUUCCGGAUCUAUUGGUUUUGAGGUUGAAAAAGGGUUUGAAGGAGGAUUUUGGAUACAAGAACGGAUGGGAAACAAGUUUCAUGGAUCCAUUUGCAAAAAAAACAUGUGAAAAUGAUGGAUUUUGGAGAGAAAACGAGAAAGGAAUAAUCAGUUUUAGAGAGAGAAAGCUAUCCGGUUUAUCGAAAGAUAAAUGAGGAGAUGAACAGCUUAUAUACUCGCGAAUCCGACUAUCCAAAAAUUCCUAACCGGCUAACGGGUUGUUGGCAGUGACCUAGCCACGUGAAUCCGAAUUUUCGGUUUGAAUAAUCGGCUAUCCGGUUUCGUCCAGUAAGCCGUUUCAAUUCGGUUGGAAUGUCCCUCGAAUUCGGAUAACCAGAUUUCACAACCGGUUAUCCGAUUUCAUCCAGUAAGCCGUUUCAAUUCGGUUUACAUGUCCCUCGAAUCCGGAUUACCGGAUUUCACAACCGGUUAUCCGGUUGUGGACAGCAAGCUUGUCCCUCGAAUUCAGAUAACCAAAUUUCACAAUCGGUUAUCCGUUUCAAUUCGGUUUACAUGUCCCUCGAAUCCAGAUUACUGGAUUUCACAACCGGUUAUCCGAUUGUGGACAGCGAGCUUGUCCCUUGAAUUCGGAUAACCGAAUUUCACAACCAGUUAUCCGGUUGCUGACAGCAAGCAUGUCACUCGCAUCUGGUCAGCCGGUUUUCAUAACCGGUUAGCCGAGUGGUUGGUUAGGUUUGCAAUAAAUAUGAUGAAAACAAAACUCACCUUCCCUCAAUUAAUGAGGGAUUAUCCUAAGGCUCAUGUCCAAGACUUCUUCAUAAAAGACACAAUCACUCCAAAACAUAGUCCCAAAUGCUAUGUUCUAAAAUCUCGUUGAACAUCUCUGGUGCCUAGUUUUCAACUUUUCAUAAGUCAAGUUUCUCUCCAACAAAGGUAUGUGCUUUAAUUUAAGUAGUAGAUUUGUGCUCCUAUAGAUGGUUUCAUAUUUAUUAUUAUAUUAAAUUAUUAAGAUAAAGGGUGUGAAUUAUGUUAUUAACAAAGUUUUGGUUGAACAUGGGUUAAAUAUGAGUAGCCCACAUAGUUCCAGCAACCUAGGAAUAUCCAUUGCUCCAAAGGUUGAUUUACAGGCAUCGGACGUACUUGGCAGUCAUUUCGACUCAGUAGAGGAUGCACAACUGUGGUAUAAAAAUUAUGCCCGAAUGAUUGGUUUUGGUGUUAGGAAAGAUGAUAUGCGUCGCGGAAAAAAGUCUGGACGAAUCACAAUUCAAUGCUGGGUUUGUCAUUUCGAAGGGGUAAGAGAUGAAAGACAAUCUCAAAACUGUAGUAGGGUGCGAGAACCACGACCUAUAACACAAACUGGGUGUCGGGCAUCAUUUCGAGUGAAUUACGAUGAAUCAGUUGGUAAAUACAUCGCCAAAGAAUUCAGGCCUGAGCACAACCAUCAUUUGGCUUCUAAUAAUGAAGUUCAUCUCAUUCGUUCACAUCGAAAGGUUACUGGUGCAGAACUUGCACAAGCAAAGGCAUUAAGGCAUGUUGGUGUGAAGACUUGCCAAUUCAUGAAUUACAUGGCUGAUCAGGUAGAGGGGCCUCAAAACCUAAGGUUCACACGCAAAGACAUGCAAAACACGCUAGAUGCUUCCACUCGUGCCGAGGUUGGAGAUUCUGACUCAAACACAACUAUAGCAUACUUUGCGGCAAAAUCUAAACAUGACCCUGGGUUUUGCUUUGAGUACACACUAGAUGAUGAAAAUAGACUACAAAAUUUUGUUUUGGGUUGAUUGUGUAGCUCGUUAUGACUAUCAGUAUUUUGGUGAUGUGUUGGCAUUCGAUGCAACGUAUAAGACUAAUGCAUAUCAUAAACCCCUCGUAACACUUGUCGGAACAAACCAUCACUUCAGAACAACGGUCUUCGGUUUUGCUUUGCUCGCAAAUGAGACAAUUGACUCAUACACAUGGCUGCUGCAAACUUUCCUAUCCACUAUGGGCAAUCGAAAGCCCGUGUCUGUAAUUACUGAUGGUGACAAGGCAAUGUCGAAGGCAAUAAAGACAGUGUUUACUGGGUGCAUCCAUCGUCUUUGUUGUUGGCAUCUCGAGCGCAAUGCGCAGGCUAAUUUGAAGAACGAAGACUUUACGAGAAAAUUUCGUGAUUUGAUGUUGACACCUAUGACGGUAGCUGAAUUUGAAACCCAAUGGUUAGCGGUAGUGGCUGAAUUCGCACUUGAACAACAUGCAUGGGUACAGAAAAUGUAUUCAAAGCGGUGCAACUGGGCGGAAGCUUAUCUUAGAGGAACAUUCUUUGCUGGUAUGCGAAGCACUCAACGAUGUGAAAGUAUGAAUGCAUAUCUUAGCCGAUUUGUCCAACAUAAACUAAAAUUGUAUGAGUUUGUGCGACAAAUCGAUCGUGCUCUCCAUAAUAUUCGUACCACAGAAACAUCCGAUGAGUUCAAAACCAAAUACAGUACUCCUGUCUUAAGAACGCACUUACAGAGCCUAGAGAAACAUGAUGCACAAUUGUUCCCGUUAAGAGUUUUUUCGAAGGUUAGAGAUGAGAUGCUGCGAGAAGGAGCGGUUAUCGAAGUAAAAACUGACAAAGCUGUCGAUGCUGCUUUGGACACAGUGACUGAAUUUGGGACACCAACAACAUGUUGGAAUGUCAUCCACAAUCUACAAGAAAACCACAUAUAGUGUUCUUGUCAAAUGAUAGAGUUUGUUGGGCUUCCUUGUAGGCAUAUGUUUCAUGUCUUGAAAGUGGAACAAAUUGAAAAAAUUCCUGACAAUAUGGUUCUUCGCAGAUGGACAAAAAAAACCAAGGAGCACAAUACUUGCAGGACCACAAAACCAGAAGUUGACACCGAUGUUUUAGAGGUGGCUAGAUUUAAUGCAUUGUUUUCAGCUUGCAAUAAAAUGUGUUACAAUGCAGCAAAAAACGUUGAAGCCUAUGAAAAUGCGUUGGUAGAAAUCAAUCGGCUAACAUUAACUUAUGAACAAUAAUCUGAACAAGACGGUCUCCCAAAUAAAAAAUUGCGGAUGGGAACAAAACUUUGUAAUCCUGCAGUUGUAAAGACCAAGGGCGCUAUGUCUAAAGCGAAAUGUGUAGCAGAAAGCUCUAGAAAGUGUGGAAAAUGUAGUCAGGUUGGGCAUACAACACGAACUUGUCCUAUUCAAGGGAAUGAUAGCACCCAACUAAGGUAUGUCCCAAGUUCUUUAUCAUGUGUUUAAUUAUUGCAUUGUUGGAUAUUUCAUUGCAAAUAACUUUCGUGGUAUUGAUUUUAGUCUCGAUGGAAACUGUUUUGCCGCAUUCGAUUUAUCAAGUACCCAGAAUCCUGGAACCUUUGCUGAUGUCAAUCCAACAUUGGUAGGUCAUGCAAGCAACCAAUUUUCUAAUGUUUUUUAUUGGUGGCCUCAUUAAGCAGUGCCAUUAAAAUGAGUCAAUAUGUAUUACCAUUUGAAUUCCACUAUCAUGUACCAACAUGACAACUAGUUCAAUAUCAAAUGAUGAGAUGUGAACACUGUUAACAUGCAUAUGUUCAUUAUAGUUAAAUAAUGUCUCAGCCGAGAAUACAUAACCAUGUCAUAAAUUUAAAGAUAAUUCUCCAUUACAAUUGAUUUUACAACCAUCGUAAGCAAGAAGACAAAAAAAGUCACGGUAUUACCUCCCAACACGUUUCAAACAACUUACAACAAAAAAUAGUAUGCAAUCACUUGCAUAAUCAUUCCCUAGUAUGGUUCGAUAUCUAAGCGCGCGUUCUCGUGUUAACUUUCUUCUUCUUACUUUAUCUCGAUUUUGAUUCAAUGCAGAAUUAAUUAGUUGAAUGGCUAGCCUACCCCGUGUAUCCUCGAAUGUGUACUGGUAAAUUUGAAAUGAAACUAAUAUUACUUUCAUAUAAUUAGUAGCUUUCAUAUAAUUAUGAAGUUAACAAAAUUUUGAGUUCAACCAUUAAACAAGUUUGGCAUAGUCAUACUAAAGUUGAUGAUUUCUUCAGAAUAAAUUCUGGGCUGUCCAUAUAGUUUAUCACAUAAACCCCACAGUCAUAUCCAUUCCUUUGCUUUGGAACUCCAAUGCCUCAGUUGAUUGGAAAGUCUUGAAACUUCACGUGUUGCAUAUUGCUUGGCAAUUGGGGCUGCAGAAUCCAAUCCAAUGAAUAUAGUUGUCGGCAAUGUCGAAAACCAGAAAAUAUUAUAGAUAUGAAUAUAACACAAUAUACAUAACUUGUUAAAUAGAUCACGAAAAAAAAAAAACAUGAUUAAGAUACAAUGCGCAUGGCUUGAUCGUGUCGUCUUCUAUUACUGCGGGGAUCUGGAAGAGGAUCCCAUAUUUCUGCACUUGUAUUUCUGACAUUCACGAUCAGUAGGUACCAAUGAGAUGAUUCAUCAUUUAUUGGCACAUAAAUUUGACAUUUCAAUUGUCAAUGUCAUACACCAAGCACACUAGUAUAAACUGAAAUAAGUUAAAGGUUAAGAAAGUAACCUUUUGACACCUAUGCACCUGUUUCAUAAAAUUCUUUCCACAUCUAGCUGCCCUUGCAAAACAAUCCACCUCAUCUCCGACCAUUAGAACUGCUUGCUACACAUAAUGAAGACAACGUUGCAUAAGGAAGUUGUCAAUAAAGAAACCAAAACACAAUGCAACAAGUACCGGCGAGACUCACAGAAUAUCUUGUUGGUAAAUACCAGUUCAUUGGCACAUCUUUCUCCACCACCUGCUGAAUGAGGGUGAGGUGAUGCGCUUUCAUAGAAAUCACCUAAAAGUGAUCAUAUUGAUUGAGAUAUAUAAUAACAUAUAAUAAACGACAAACAUAUAUUGUGACAUCACCAAAUGUUGAAACCUAAUACCUCGCCACAUAGAUAAGCCCCCGGCAAAAGAGUAAAUAAAGAAUGCCAAUUAAGAAUUUUGCCGUAACUAGAAACAAUGAUUUCACUAAAGACAAAACACGGUAAUUUUUUAGUCGUAUAGCAAAACAACUAUAUACAGAAAACUAAUUUUAGUCUUCUGAAUUUUACCUUCCGUCAGCCUCUUUGUUAAAAGCAUAUUGAAUAAGCUUCAAUUCUUCCAGCGUAACUGGAUCAUUGACUUGAAACGGACCAACUUUAUACUUGGGAUUAGCUCCCCUGGACACUUGAUCGUACGGUGAAAGUUGAUAUCGGCCUGGCCUACGAUUCCUACUUGGUCACGUUGGCAGGACACUGACACUAGUAGAUGUUUAAGGUUCUUGCUUAAGUUGAACUGGUUUGUCUAUAUCCUUUAUAAAAAAUAAAUUUAUAUGUAAGUUACUUCAUAAGUGAGUUAUCAUCGAAAUAAUUUUAAGAAAACGACAUUAUCUAACUGUACCUCAUCUCGGAAAUUAGGUGGUGGAAUAGGGACAAAGUGGGUAGGAUCUUUGCGAAAUUCACCAAUUCCUUCUCUUGUCCCCAUCCAGCCCAUUAUUUUAUCGAGGCUCAGGUUCAAUCUGUGAUCCACAGAGUCCUCGUCGCUAUCCAUUACCAUUUUUUUUCCAUCAGUGGUUGGCUAGGUUUUUCUGACUGGACAUGUUGGUUCUACUAUUUUCAAGCUCGGAGAUGGCGGGCAUGGAUCAGAUGGUUGUUUUGAUGGUGCACCAACCGGAGACUUGGAUCUCAAUUCCUCCAAAGACUUCUCAACCAUUUCCAUUCUCACAUUGAACGAAUCCAUUUUAUGUUCAAUUCUGUAGACACACUGUGUUAGUACCCUAAAAGCUUCCUCCAUAUUAACAGUGCUCGGCCCAGCAUCUUCGGUUUGUUCAAAAUGAGGGAAAUUUCUUUUGAGCUGCAAAAAAUUUGAUUCACGCAUUGGAACCUAAAAUAAAUAUGCACAACAAUCAUACAUAAUGACAAUCAAAAUAUAUUCAAUUAACCGUAAACAAAAUUAAAUACAUAUGUGAACAAGACAAAAAAUAAAACAAACCUCAGUACAUUUCAUGUCCCCAAACUUUUUCCGCCAAUUCAAUAAGCGCCGAAUCUCUUCCUUGGUCCAUACACUAAUAGGGCAAACUGUUCUGUCCAUGGAACACAGAUCAUACAAAACAGCACUAAAGUAGAACAACUGUUCAUUCAAAAAACAAUUACUACGUCAUUUUAUUUUUUGUAUUUGGCAAAUUAAUUAUGGCAUCUAAGAUUUCUUAAAUAUACCUCUAAAAACACAACACAACCACUAACUGACUUCACUUGAUGAUCUUUAUACUUCGCUAUGCCCUCCCACAGAAAGUUGAAACACCAUGUAGCCCAAUUCUUUUUCCUAAUUAACUGCACAUCUUUUAGGGCAUGCAUAUACAUCAGAUUGAUGUAGCUGGCACUUGUGGGACACAAUACAGUUCCUAGAAGAAACAAACAAAACAUGAUCUUAAAGUCAUCAUCACUACUCUCACUAGCUAUCAAUCUUUCACUAACUGCGGCUAUUUCAAUUCAUCUUCCACCCGUUCUAUACUUGGCACGUUGUUCAAUUAUAUCACCCGCUUCUUCUCGGAUGUAUACUGGUUCCCCUCCAUCUUUGAUCCCCAUUACGAAGCUGAAGGUUGUAGGGUUUAAACAAAACUCUCUCCCAUGCAAAACUAUACAAUGCCUUUUUGUAUCACAUUGUUGGACAAGUGUUUUAUAGAAGUCUUGUCUCAGGCGACCACAUCAUAAUUCUAGCAUGCUUUCGAAGCCAAUUUCUCUAAUUGCAGCUUAUUGGUCGGGCGACAGUGUGGAAAUGACCUUAGUGAAUGCACUGACACGACAACGAGAUAAAUUACAUUGGCUAUGCUUAUCCCCAAUUUUUUGUUCUUCAUCUGUUUUUUCAAUACUCCUUUCACCAACAUUUGAACUUGGGUCCUCAUGCAUCGUACCAAAUCGACACUUCUCCUCAUUCGUUAAUUUCUUCCAUUUUUCAACAAUUGUCGCCCUACAAACUUUUUUUAUCCCUUCUUGCCUGACCUUUUAUGCUUCAUGCUUACUGUACACAACAUUUUAGUUCAACUAAUUACGUCAACAAAUGAUAGUUAUAAUAAGAACUUUAUUCAAAGCAAUGAUUUUAUACUUACAAAAAGUGUAUCCAUGCUCUCUAACCAGGUCCUCCCCUUCUAGCUUAUGUGUACUCUAUUUUAUAAUUGUAUGCUAUGGUUCAAAUCUUAAAAUAGACCACACAUAAAUGUAGUAUCAAGGCCGGACCCAUAAUAAUGGGUAAGUUCUUACCAAAUUAUUGAGCACCCAUCUUUAGUAUUCCUAGCAAAGAGUGUAGAGCUCAAAACAAGCAAACAACACCCUGCUGUACGGCCAAGGCGGAUGUACGGUACAGCAGCUAAAAAAAUGAAAAUAUAAAAUAAAAAAAUAAUUUCCUUCUUCUAAGUAGUAUGACAUAAUUAUGAUAGGUAAAAUCUAUCACAACUUGUGACGCAAUUUUAUCUGUCAUCUUUUCUUGACGCUGGCUAUAAUGACGGUAAGGAUAACCGUCAUCUACCGGCAAAUUAUUGAGCGUCCAUCUUUAGUAUUCCUAUCAAAGAGUGUAGAGCUCAAAACAAGCAAACAACACCUAAAAGUACGGCCAAGGCGGAUGUACGGUACAGCAGCUAAAAAAAUGAAAAUAUAAAAUAAAAAAAUAAUUUCCUUCUUCUAAGUAAAAAUGGAAGGGUUACGCUUUUGACUAUGAAGGAUCUAAGAAGUUAGUGUUUACUUUAAAAGAACCACCCAGCAGUUCAUGUUUAGUAAAGAACAGUUCCAUAAAGAUCUCUACUGAAACUACAGCCAGAAGCAGCAACUUUGAGGUCAAAGGUUACUUCCCAGAUAAAGACUGCAUCAUUGUUGAUCCCAAUGGCAACAUUGUAGCUCAGGUAUACAAUCAACUCCAUGAUCUAAAAGCUGUAGACAUUGCUUUAUUUUUAUUUAUUUAAAAAGAAAGCAAAAGUAUGCUAAAGCUGCAGUGUUCGUUUUGCUUUUGAUCACUUAGUGAUGAUUCCGUUUAAAUAUGACAGAUUGGAGUGAAAAAAGAAAUAGAAGACUUGAUGGAAAGCAAGGAUCUGUAUCACAUAGUGGUGAAACAGAGGAUAGAUCAGGCCUUUAUUGCUGGAGUCAUUGCCACCCUCGACUACAUUUAUGGCGAAUCUACUAGGUGCUGAUCAAUCAGAAUUUUUACCAACUAAUGCCAUUGAAACUACGCAAAAUCAUGGGAACAUUGCAUCCCCUUCUAAAUAUCUUUCUUCAAUUUCAUGCUUGAAUUACAGCACAUCAAUCAUAUCGGGAUUGAGGGUUUUUUUGUCAAUUUCAUGCUUCUAAGCCAUUAAUCAUCUCUUCAACAUCAAUUUUUCAUCAUCUAAAUAUUUUUUUUCACUCUAAAUUACCAAACUUCUAAUUGUUUCAAAUCUCUAAUUAUUUCACACAAAAUUUACAAUACAUCAAAAAAACCCACAAAGGUCAAAAUUACCUCCUCACCUUGCUGUUAACUCACAAAAUGAAAAGGAAAGAGAGGAAACUGUGUUCAUCUUCAACACCUCAGGAUGACAGCGACCGCUUCAUGGAUUCCACUUGUUAUUUGCUUUGAACGAGAUGAUGCCUUCGAUCUUGCGUGAUUACUAAACAAAUAGAAGAGAGAAAUUUGAGAGAAAUUUGUGAUUUCAAAGAGAGGUGUGACAUAUUGGGAAUGGCCUGGGUGAAACCCUUAAAAAGCAAAAUUUUGUUUUGCAAGCUUUGGGAACCGGUUUAACAAGUUAACAAUUUUUUUCUCUUUUUUAUUUCUUUUCAAUCUCAGCCGUUGGAUUCAUUUUACUUGAAUCCAACGGCUGCGUUUACAAGCCGACACGAUGUCGGGCCUCAAUGCCCGACAUUGUAGCUUUAGCCUUUAAACUAGGAUAUGUUCUAGUUUGUAACAAGAAACAAUGAGAAAGUAGAAGAAAAUAUUGUUGUUUGUGAGGAGCGUUCUCUCUACUAAAGAAGUAUGAAUUUUUUUUUUUUUUAUCACAUGAGACUAUUGUUCAGGAUAUACAACAUAUUGUAUGGUACUAUAAUUAGUAUUUACAAUCAUUGGAACUAGUUUACAUCAACUUUUAUAUAACACUACUCAGAUUUAACCCUCUCAAAUAUUCGAGGGACUUCAACCUUUUUUUAUUACAUGAGACUAUUGCUCAUGAUACAACAUAUUGUAUGUUACUAUAAUUAGUAUUUACAAUCACUGGAACUAGUUUACAUCAACACUUCUAUAACACUGUCCAGAUUUAACCCUCUCAAAAGAUUUAACCCUCUCAAAUAUUCGAGAGAUUUCAACCUUCACUCGAGAGAUGAGGAAGGAAAUUUAAAGUAAACCUUCACAAUGCUUCUGUGGGAGUGGCUUUAACAACUAGGUAAAUAACAAUGAACCUACUAACAAAAUAACAAUUACAAUACAAAUAAUAUCUCACUACAACUCCCUAACAUGUUUCGCUAACUCAAUAACUGAAAAUCGAUACUAAUACAACACCUAGACAAUUCACAUAUGAACAACAUGCAUGAAUAAAUUAUACAAAUUAAGCAUACAUCAAACUCGAACCACUCCAUUUCAAAUUAAACCUAAAACUUUGAUUUAGUAUGCAACAUUGUGCAUGUUAUGGUGCAUGUGGCAAAUCGGGAUUAGGGCUAAAUACUAUGACCCCACAGCCUCAAUCAUAAUUUACCACACGCGAUAUUACACACUAGAUUAGCCCUUUUAAAUCUAUAUCUUCUUAAGUUUAAAUUGUAUUCUCGUGUUUCUUUUGCAAGAGGUCAAAUUACCUGGAGUAUCUUUGAGAAAUAAUAACAUCUCAACGCUGGUAUAUAUAAAAAAACCUAUGGUAGAUUAAUUAGUUCGGUCGUGUGUGUCUUAAUUUUCUCUAUGUUUUAACCCAAAUUAUAUUUUUGGGUUUUUAUUACAUGUGCAAGAAGUAGUGAAUUGUAACUCUACCCUAGUACAAAAUAAAAAAAAUUUGGGUGAUGCUGCACCACCACUUUAGCAUCCUACCAUUAAAUUGGAUGUCUGAUGUACCAUUUAAUUAGACAUCACCACAUAAUAUACACAAUGUAUUUAUGGUAAUCUUAAACUUAAUGAUAAGUGUAUGUAUGUCGGGAUCCAAUAAGAUAGUAAGAUGUUAACGUGGUGUUAUCGACCUAACAUUUUCCUAAACGAUAUUCUCUUACAAAACAAGCUUAUUAACCUGAACUGAUUUUCUGUUUCUGUACAUAUUUCCGUAUUUUAUUUGAUUUAACAUCUUUUUUAUUGGCACUAAACAUAUUUCUCCUAUGACUAUUACAAUGAUCUUACAGCUGUAUGCAGAUACUUUUAGUGAAAGGGAUAUUUGACGGUAGUUGUAGAAUUAAUUAUUAGAAAAUGAUUUUUAAAUAAUUCAUGCUAAUCCAAAGUCUCUCCACCGUGAGUUGUAGACAUUUAGGUGUUGCAAUCUUUGCAAAUAACGUGCGUAAAUAUCGUCUGUGUUACUUGACUUUGAUGGUUUCCAUAAUUUGUUUGAUAACUAUGCGGAGAAAACUAAAAGCUGAAAGGGAAUGUGAUAAGGUUCAACCCCCAUAGGUAAUAGGGCCAAACGUGACGUGAGAGCAAAUGUAUUUAAUUUAAUUUAAUUUAAUUUAAUUUUUGAAUUAAUUGAAAGUAGAGAUUUGGGAUUUUCCAAUUUUGAAAUCUUGAUCAAGCAAAGUCCUCACAAAUCUAUCAUUAAAAAUAGAAGAUGUUAAAAUGUCUAUAUAUUUGACCUUUUGGGGGUGAGACCGUGAGAUACUCUCCACAAAUAAAUAUUGUGACGUCAUUGGGAAUUAUACAAUACUUAAAUAUUCAAAUAAAGAGUCACAUUUAAAUUACGGCAUCAUAUAAAAUUAUCAACUUGUCAAUUUAAACCAACAUCUAAUGGAAAGUAUCAUCCAUCACAUUAAAAAACUGAACUCAUUCCUAAACGAUUCCUAACUCUCUGCCACAUCAAAUUAUUUACCAAUUAGCAUUUGAAAAAGUAAUCCACAAGACCGAUUAUAGAACUCACGUUAUAAUAAUAUUAAAAGAUAAAAAAAAUUAAACAAGCUAAGUGUGGUUAGGUCCAAAGGUUUCAAAGGGUUUUCUUCCCUUUUAUACAAUACAUAAAUUUUAAUGAAGUUUGCAAGAAAUAGAUGAAAAGGACAAAAUUUGUUGUUGACACUGGUGAUGAACUUUUGUUGAGCUCUGAGAACUUUGCAAUAUGAUGCCAUCAAUGGCAACCAUGGUGCAUCACCUUACUACUUGUUGAAAAUCACGUUAAAAUUGCGUAAGUAUUUUUCAUUAAAUAAUAUAAUUGAUCUAUCAUAUAUUUCAGUAUUAUCUAAUUUUGAACUCUUACUGAAUUUGACAACAAAAAUGAAACCAUUUUGUCAAAAUUUCGUAUAAUUCAUUCCUUUUUAAAAAAUUUAUUUAUUGUUAAUGUCGUCAUGUAAACUUAACAGAGGCUGAAUUGCUGGAGAAUAAUGUACAACCCUGCAAGCAGACAUCCACACGGAAAUUUGAGUUAAUUUCUUAAAGGGAAAUUAUGAGCUAAAAUACACAAAACCUUCAAAAAUUAUUACCCGUUCACUUUUAAGUUUCGAGAUUAUAUUAAUAUCUCUUUUUUUAAUUACCACCAUUAGAAUCUUUUAGAGAAUCUUUGAGCGAAAUAAGAAAAAAAAAUCACUAUGUCCAGAGGCGACGGCUGAAAACUUUGGUUAUAGGGACCAUGUGAGUAAUGUAAAGAAACGAAGCUAAAUUUGUCAAAGAAUAGAAUAAUUCAAAUGUAGAAAUGAGUUUUAAAAAAAAAAGAUUUUAGAAUUGAAUAUUGAGUUAGAGAAGAAAAUUAUGACAUGCUGUUGUCUAUAAGAAAAGACAAAUUAUAAUAAUAUAAUUAAAAGUAGGAUUUAGGUAUUAUGAGGAAUUAGACGAUGCAAUUAUUGUAAAAACUAGAAUAUAAAGGGUAAAAUAUAUAUAUCAUGAUUAUUUAGUGAAUUCUAAUUAGUUUAGAAAUAUUUUUUAACUUCUAUUAUAAUUUAGGACUUUUAAAAGAAAAAAAUUUCAAAUUUUUACAAGGGCCAUGAUCCAGUAUGGUCUCCAUGCUCUUUAUGCCCCUGACUAUAUCCCCAGAAAUAUAUUAUUAUCAGUGAUGAACCUAGACAUUUCAUUCAAAUGGGGCUAUAUCGAUCUAUAAUUAACACCUAUAAUAUGCAAAAUAUAUGAGAUUAUUUAUUUUACAUGAUAAAAUUUAAGUACCUUUGUACUUUUUCAUAAAAUUCGGAUGCAUGAUAUAUUAAAGUGAAAGAGUGGUAUUAAUGUUUGUUUAAAAGGUUUAACAAGGAGAGUGAAGAAUAUUGCUUAAAGGUAAAACGAAAAAUAAAAUAUAGAGUAUAGAAAAUUUAACAUUUUUUAUGUAAUUUUUAGAAUUUUUAAGGGUAUUUUUAAGGGGCUAACCUCAAUCAAACUCUCUCAUUCAAAAAAAAAAAAAAAUCAUUGGGCACUUAGUUAACAUUUUAUUAAGGUUUCAAAUAAAAUUUUAAGGAGAAAGGACAUUUACAUCCCCAAAGUUUUGGAAAAUGGUAACUAACACUCCCAAUUUUUUAAAAAAGGACACUAAAAUCUCAUUUUGACCAUAAUACCCUUUAACUCUAUUAUUCCAUAAAAAAUUAACUCUAAUAUUUUAUAAUUAAUAGAAAUAUAACAUUGAAAUAAAUGUAUAAAAUUUAAAUUACUUUGAAUAAUAUGUAAACUAAUAAUUUAAACAUAAUUAGUAUGUGAGAUUUUCUUUAAUUGUAAAAUGUACUUAAUGCAAAUAUUUAUUUAAAAUAUCUAAAAUAAAUAUAAUAAUUUAAAUAUUUAGCUUUCUUAAAAUAUUUUAAUAUUAUUAGUCUACUGCAUAGAUUACAUUAUUUAUUGUAUUUAUUAAAAAUUUUAAAACCUACUUUUUGGGAUAAUGGAGGUAAAGGGUAAAAUGGUCAAAGGGGGCCCUAAUGUCCCUUUUGAAAAAUUUGGGAGUAUUAAUGAUCAUUUUCUCAAACUUUGGGGAUGUAGAUGUUCUUUUUCCAAAAAAAAAUUAUUUUCCACCCAUCAAUAAUUAUUAGGCAAAUCCAACUUAUUAUUGUUUAAAUUUUCGCUAAAAAUUAUGUAUUCAAGUUAUAAUUUUCUCAAAAAAUAAAAAUGACAUAAAUUACUAUUUACCUUUGUGAUGUUAAUGUACACUAAAUGGGUUUAAUGGAAAAAUGAAUUAGCAAUACGCUUGACGAAACUUAAGUAGAACGAUUAUAAUUUUUUUUAAGGUUGUGUGUAUAUUGGAAUUUUUGCAAAGAUUUUCCUUUCUCAAAAGUAUGAAGAGUAAACGUUCAUUUAUCCCUUAGGAUUUGAUCCAAUUACUUACUAGUCCCUAUAAUUUUUAAAAUUAUCCAAACAUCUAUUUGUGCAUCUUUUUUUUAAAAAAAAAAAUUGCACUUAUUGUAUUACAAAAUACUCUUCUUUUACUCUUGUACACCCUUCUAAUGAAACACACCUAAUUUUCUAUCUUUACUAAUAUUGGAGAAAUAUUUGCUCCAUUCAUGACUUUUAAAAAUAUUUGAGAAAUAUUUGACUCAUAUUUCGUAAGAAAUAAUAUUACCUUCACUCAAUUAAUUCUUAAUUGGGAGGAAAAUUUUGAAUCCCCAUAUUUUAGAUGGGGACUUGAACAAUGUGUGAGUAGCAGCCCAUCACUUAGUCAAAGGCAAAAUAUGCUUCUCACAUACAUAAUAAUCGCUCCCAAAUAUUUAUUUUAAAAGAUAUACCAAGGAUCUAAGAGAAGUAAAGACUAACUAAAUUUUUUUAUUUCUACCAAUUUAGAAUUUAAAUUCAGUAAUUAACUAAAUAAAAUUAUUUGAAAACUACUCAAUUAGACCCGCCUAUUUAAAAUUUUAAAUCCAUUAAAAAAUACUCUUCGAAUAAAUCUUUUUAAUUGAACCAAAUAGCACCCGGAACUAAUAAGUUCCUCAUGGACUCUUUAGAAACUACUGUAGGAUGAUUGCGUCGUUUUCACAAGAUUUUACACUAUUGUGAUUUAUUUAUUUUUUUAAUUUGACUUUUUUAUAGUGAGUGGUGUGACUGGUGUCAAGCAUGUCCAUUAUUUUAACCCCAUCUCAUUGCAAUCAAAAAUCAAAGGGCUGGGACAAAGCGGCAAAACCCAUUAAUUAAUCAUAGCCAGUUGACACAUAAAAAAUAAAAUAUUAAAAUCAAAAUAUGAUAAGGCUUCUCCACCAUAAUGAUAUCCCACUCAAUUCCCAACCCAUUAUUCAUGGAUUCUCCUUUUUAUUUCUUUCUAUUGUUUGCAUAUCACUCGACUCAAAAUUUAUGUAAAAUUUUUAUAGUAAAAAACAUUUGAAUAAACAUAUAGUUAUUUAUUUAUUUUGUUUUUUUGUUUAAUACUCUUUAUAUCCGUAUGUUGUAUACUCCUCGUAUCCAUAUAUUGUUUACGACUAGAGGUGAUCAAAUAAAAUUCGGCAAAAAUAAAAUUUAUUUUUUUAGAAGGUUUAGUUAAAAUGCGAUAUUCAUGCAAUCAUGCACAUCUAACGCGACUAAAUAUUCAAAAAAGUUGUUGUAAUGAAAUCCAACCAACCCAAAGUUUGGUCAUUGAUUAAUAUUAGUGGACAACAAAAUCAAACUUUAAAAAGCAAGAAAAAAUUGUCAAUCUUAUCACAAUAUUAAUGGUAGUAAAAUAGAAAUCGUAGUCGGCAGAGCAAGUGGAAUUAGACCCUCUUGUUAGAAACUAUAAAAAAUAAAUAAAUAUGUGGAAUGUGUUUUUACGGUGAAAUUGUCAAAAAUCUAUUUUGAGUCUUUUUUACGUCAUGUCAAAUGGAAAGUGUGUCGGUAAAUAGCACAGCCACUGCUAUAUAUAUUAAAAAAUAUAUAUAUUCCUCUUAUAUGGGUCACCAUAGUAUCCUAUAAUUUAGAUAUCUUAGAUGUUUAGUAAGAUAAUCGAAGUCAAUAAAAUAUGAUCAUCUUACAAUGUUGUUUUAUCCACUGUUUAGACAUAAUUAGUUUCUACAAUUUCCCUAUUUAGCUAGAUGCAUCCUCCAUUCCCUUUUAAUCAAUCACAAACUAAUUCAAUGGCUGAGAUUACGAUAUAAUUCAAGGUAUUAUCGUAUAUACAGGUAUGUUAGUCGUAUAAUUAACCUAAAAUUAUUAUUAUUAUUAUUAUUAUUAUUAUUAUUAUUACUAGUUCUUCAUUGUUUCAAAAUUAUCUUGAUUUUAUCUAUAAAAUUAAUUAUAUCAUAUAUAAAAAUUAGAAAAUAGUUAUAGGUUCAUUGUUUGUGAAUAUAUAAUUUUAGUUUAAUUAAAUUCAUAUUUCUCCUUUUUGUGUAAUUUCAAGUAACAAUACAAAUAUGAUUAUGAGAAAAUGGGGCGUGAAGAGCAUGGCUCUUUCAAUUAAUCAACAAAGCUCACUUCAAUUUAAUAAUAUAAUAAAAAAAUCGUUAAUAUUUAGUUAAAAAAACAAGUCAAAUUUACUUUUUAUACUAUAGCAUUAAAUUUGAAAUUUUGUAGUAAAAAAGUUUAAAUUGUAAUUUUCUUAUAGAAAUUGGAUCUCAUGAAAAAAAAUUCUUUCGGGUUUGUAUCUAGUGUUAUCCAUUAUCAUAAUAUUACUAUAAUUGAUUAAUCAAUUGUAAAAUGAACGCAUAUAUGGAAAAUUUAAUUAAUUAGACAUAAAAGACGUGCCCAUCCAUCCCACCAAUUAAAAUUAACUUAUAUAUUGCUCGCUACAUAUGUAUACAUAUUAGUAGAGAUGGCAGAAAAGCCCGCCCGGACCGGACCCGGCACAUGCGGUCUGGGUAAAACCCGGCCCGCAUGCAUGAAAAAAGCGGAUCCGGGCAUUGAUUUUCAAUGCCCGGCUGUUUCCGGGCACGGGUCCGGUCACAGCACCAAGUACCCGGAACCCGGACCCGUGCCCGCUUUUUUAUUAAGUAAAAAAAAAAAGAGGAAAAUAUAAAACGAAAAUUGCAUUUUUCCUUUACCCAAUUUCCCCCAAACCCAACCGGCCAACCAACCCUAAAUCGCGAAUUCGAGACAAGUCUCAGAAAUCAGAAUCGGCACCUCCUCCCUUCGUCUCUCCACCAUUACCAGCAGCCACCACCUAUCCUUCACCGAUGGCGAUGCAGUAUUGACAGUGACCGCGCCUCUCCCUCCACGAACCGCAAAGCACAGUCGUCACUCGUCAGUUCGUCAAAGAGCUCUUCACUGUUUGGUUAGCUUCUCAGCGGCAGCCACCGCGCGACGGCGUCCGCCACCAUAGCUGGUCUCACACUCUCACUCCAUUGCUUUGUCACCAUAUCAGCUGCAAGCCUGCAACCCACAGCCACGACCCACGAGGUAAUUUUUUUUUUGGCUGUUUUUUCAAAAAAAAAUGAUGAAAUUGCUUUCAAUAUGUGCUUAAUUAUUUUCUUGGAUGCUGGAAGUGUUUACGUUGUUAAUGGCUGCACAGAACAUAAUAAGAAAGAGCUAAUGUUAAACACCCUCAUUAUGCUGUUGUAGUAGUGUUUCUAUUUCAUAUGGGUGUUUCGUUUGGAAUAUGUUUGAUCUCAUUUAUCUGCAAACUACAAUCGUUUUGAUAUAGCUCAUAGUUCACAAUUUACAGCUGAUCAAUUGUACAAUUUCUGGCAUUAAUUCCUGUUUAAGUUGCAGCUAGCUAGACUUGAACCAAAGAGGCUAUGAACCUCAAAUGGAACACUAUUUCCUGUGUGAGCAGCACUUUUAAGAAAUGAUAAGUAACUUGUAUGUGGUGAUCAUGAGCUGUAGUGAUAAUUACUUUAAUAUUGUGAUAACAUAAAUUAUAUAUGUUCAUUUCAUAAGCUUGCAAAGUGAGUAGUACUGGCAAGUACCUCUUCUGCAUAUUUGUGAUUAUGCACCAGGGGCCAUCUAAAAACUAAAAAAGAAUUGGCUCACAUUAAGAAUUUCUGUAAAGUGGGAAAUUUCAGCUACUGGGACUAAAGUACAAUGUAAUCGCAGCCAAAAGACUUGUGACCAGGGGAAUAUUCAAAUGGUGUUUAUUGUUUUUUUUUCUUUUUUCUUUUUUAAUCCUUACCUUAUAUACCUUCACUAGUAUAAAGACAUGGAUUCACCACGCAACUACGGCCUAGUGGCGAAAUAAGCAUGAUUGUUACCAAACUAACAAGUUUGCUUAGCUGAGAAUGAGAUAAGUUUGAUAUCUGUGCAGGCAUGUAUAUAUGUUUUAAAACACAAAUUUAAAACUAUACAAUAUUUUCUAAUUAUAAUCAGACAGUGACAAAAUACUUGCUUCAGUCUAUUAAUUAAUUAAACCUGUUUAUUUUCUUUGUAUUCUGGUCCUGUUCAUGCAAUUGCUCCAGAAAUUUCUCAGUUGUUUAUUUAUUUAUCUGUCUGGUCUUUCUUCUUUGCUUUAUUAGGUUGCUUAGGUUGCUUGUAAGUUAAUUUAGGUUGCAUGUAAGUUAAUUUUGUUAUAUAAUAUUAUAACUAUGUAAUUUGCAUGAUUAUUUAUAAUUAUUCAUUAUUUUUUUUAUAAUAAAUAGUAGUGCGAUGUCACAGUCACAGUCAGACAAUAUAGAAAUUAAUUCGUCAAAUUCUCCAAAUUUAUCUCGGAAUGUUGAAAAUAGCAAUGAUAAUGAGGUUGAGGAGAUUUCACUGUCAACUCUUAAAGAUAAAAAGGGAUAGAAAGUCUCUACAGCUUGGGAUCACUUUACAAAAGUAACUAUUAAUGGAGAAAAAAAGGCAAAGUGCAUGCACUGUAAUGCAAUUUUAGAAGCCAAAUACACAUCAGGGACCACGAGCUUGAAUAGACACGUGAAAUCUUGUUUUUCGAGGAGUCAACCGAAAAUACAAGAAGCACUUCAAGGAAGUCUCAAAGUGCUCAAAAGAGAGGAUGGGAGUUGUGACAUUGGCUUUGAUAGUUUCGAUCCAAAAGUUUUGCGGAGUUUGAUCGCAAGGAUGGUGUGAUGGCACAUACCAACCCCGUGGUUAAGCCAAUGAGUAGAAAUACAUUAAAGAGUGAGAUUUCGAAACUUUAUCAUAUUGAGAAGAUUAAGACUUUGCAUAUGUUGGAGAAAAAUCAAGGUAGAGUGGCUAUUACUACGGAUUUAUGGACAGCAAGUAACCAGAAAAAAGGAUACAUGGUUGUCACAGCACAUUUUAUUGACAACUCUUGGAAAUUGCAUAGCCGAAUUUUAAGGUAAUUUCUAACUUGUCUAUAACAUUUUAUUUGCUUAAUUUUUCUUUCAAUUUUUUAUUACUUAUAUUUGAUUUCUUUUAAAGUUUAAAUUGUUAUAAUAUUUUAAGUUUGUGUAUUUAAUAUUAUCACUUGAAUAUUUGUUAGGUUUAUUUAUGUUCCGAGCCCUCAUACUGCUGAGGCCCUUUCUAAUGAGUUGGUGCAAUGUUUGUUGGAUUGGAACGUGGAUAGAAAGUUGUCUUCAAUGACCUUGGAUAAUUGUAGCACUAAUGACGCGAUGGUGGAGAAAUUGUUAUUAAGGUUUGAUCUCGGUACCUUAAUUUCCAAUGGUAAAUUUUUUCAUAUGAGAUGUACUGCUCAUAUACUAAAUUUGGUUGUGCGGGAUGGGUUGAAAGUUAUAGAAAACGGGGUUGGAAAGAUUAGGGAGAGUGUUAGUUACUGGACACAAACACCAAAACGAUUUGAAUCUUUUGAGCUAGCUGCUAGGCAACUGAAAAUUAAUUGUAAAAAACGUUUGAAGUUAGAUUGUCCAACUCGUUGGAAUUCUACUUAUGCCAUGCUUGAUGUAGCACUAAUGUAUAAAAGUGUUUUUUCUCGGCUACAACAGCAUGAGUCUCAGUAUAAGAGCUUGCCUAGUGAUAAUGAGUGGGAUUUGGCAGCCACAAUGGUGGAGCAUUUGAAAUCAUUUUACAUGUUAACGGAGAUGUUUUCGGGUACAAAAUACCCUACUGCUAAUUUGUUCUUUCCGUUAAUAUGUAAAAUGAAAAUGUCGAUUAAUGGGUGGCGCACUUCCGAUAAUCUUGCUAUUAGAAUUAUGGCUGAUAAAAUGGUUGAUAAAUUUGAAAAAUAUUGGAAUGAAAUUCAUCCAAUGUUAGUUGUGGCUGUAGUUCUUGAUCCGAGAUAUAAGAUGUUGUUGAUUGAUUUUUAUUUCCCAAAGAUCUAUGGUGAUACAGCGGAUGAGCAUAUUGAGCGUGCACAUAAGCUUUGUCAUGAUUUAGUGAAAGAAUAUGAAAUGAAAGCUAUGGUUUUGAGUGAUAGGCAGGAUGUUGGGUUGGAUGAUGUUCCUUUGGAAUCUUCUUCGAAUCCGAAUAAGUAUUGGGAUGUAGAUGAGUUUGAAACAUUUCGAAGUCGAAAUAAGCGUGUUAAGGUGACUAAGUCGGAGUUGGAUAGGUAUUUAGAUGAUGAAUUAUUGGAUACUAUUCCGAACUUUGAUAUUUUAGCUUUUUGGAAGAUGUACACAGGCCAAUAUCCUAUUUUGGGCGAGUUGGCCAAGGAUAUCUUAGCCAUUCCUGUAUCCAUUGUUGCCUCUGAGUCCGCUUUUAGUACCGGAGGCAGAUUUUUGAGUCCGCAUCGUAGUAGACUUCAUCCUAACACUUUGGAAUCCUUAAUGUGUGCUCAAAAUUGGAUUUGGGCUUCUUCUCGAGGUAUAAAGUUAUUUGAAUUAUGUUAUCAUAUUAUUUGUUCGCUCAAAAUGUUUUUAAAUCUUAAUCUGUUAUUUUUGUUAUUAGGUGGAGUUCCGGAAAAUGAGAUUUUUGCUAGGGAGGAGUUAAUUUCAGAUGAUGAUGAUGAUGAUGGGGCACAAUCGUCGAGUUGUUUGACAUAAUCUGUUAUUUUAAACUCUUUUAUGAAUUAUGUGUGUUUGAUAUUUUGGGAUUCUGCUGUACGGCCAAGGCGGAUGUACGGUAAUAAAUUUAGGUAGUGGAUAAUAGAUUGAAAUGAUUUUUAUUUGUUAUUUACUUAAAUUUAUAAAGUAGAUUGAAAUUGAAAUAGUUAAGAUGUUGUAAUAAUUUAUUAUAGAAUUUUUUCCUUUUUUAAUUUUGAUAAUUCCGUUAGAUGUUUGCUUAUAGUUAAGAUGUUUUGAUUUUGGACUGUUAUGGUUUGUUAGAAUUUAGAAGUAAACAAUUGUUUUGACACCUUUUAUUUAUUCUUUUUUGGCGUGUGAUUUGCCUUUUAAUUUUUGUGUGUUGUGAUAAAUGAUGGUUUUUGCAAGUGGGAAAAGGGCUUUUAAUGAAUCCUCAUUUCAAUAUGUUUAAUCAGUGAAUUUCGAAGCUAUAUGUAAUAUGUGCGUUUCUGAUUUUGUCCCAUAUAUUAUGACCACGCAAACCAUUCACCACUCAAAUCCGGGUAGAGAAAACCCGGAAAAAACCCAUGCCCGGAUACUGCUGUACCGUACAUCCGCCUUGGCCGUACAGCAGUAAAAAUCUCUAAAUUAUUAAAAUUUUGAGAUUUAUUUUUAAUAAAUAAAUUCAGUUAUUUUAAUAAAAUUUUGCAAAUUAUAAUUUUAAUAAAAAUGAUUAUUAAAAUUUUGCAAAAUAUAAACUUAAUAAAAAUCAGUUGAGCACCUCUAUUUGAGAUUUAUUUUUAUUAAAUUUAGGGAUAUUUUUAUAAUUAUAAUUUUUUUAUUUUUUAAAGUUUUUAUAAAAUAAAAUAAUUUUUUAAUUUAUUUAAGGAUAAAAUUAUCAUUUCGUUUAAAUUAUUUAACGGUGUUAGUGUAAAAGUGGCUAAUUGAUACAAAAUUAAAAUGAAAUAUGAUGCAAAGAACAUAUUAGAAAUUUGUGGUGGUUGGAUGAAUAUAAAACAAAAGAGAGGUGGUGCAGUGAUAAUUUCUCUUUAUUUUUUAAUGUAUUAAGACAAACUAAAUUGUUAUUAAAGAUGAUAAUUUUUGGGUUUCACAAAAGGUGUAAUCUAAUGACUGCUCUAAGUGGGUGUCAAGAAAUGUAAUUUACAUAAUAAACAUUUUAAUAAUACAAAACUUUAUUAAAUUAAGAGUACUCAUAACAUAAUUGAACAUGUAAUUAUAGUUAUGAUAACGGUUACUCAUGAGUAUUAUAUCUCAAAGUUUAAGCACUCUUUAGAUAACGAAUUUUUUUUUAUUUUUUAAUUAUUUAUGAUGUCGAACCUAUACAAUAAAUACACAUGUUUGAUUUAAAAAAAUAUAAAUAAGGGAGAGAAGAAAAAAAGAAAGAAAAAAAAUAAAGCGCGAAAUAUAAAUUUUAUGUUCAAUUAAAUAAUAAAAAUAACAUUAAUUAUCUUUUUUACUCAUUUUUUCUUCUAUUAUUUCUGGUUAGAGCAUACUGUAAAACGAAGCUGAACUCAUACACAAUUAUCAAGAAACUAAAAAUAAAAAUAAUAAUUUAAUCCCACGUUACUGUCUCACCUUUUCUCACAUGGCCUUGACAACAGACUCCAACUCAAACAACAGACAUAAUCUCGUAAAUUUCUCAAAAACCAAGGCUAUUGUCGUCUUUUCAUCGUGUUACGCAUUUAUAAGAUACCCCCUUCCCCACUCCCCAUGUAACUCCACUCUCCCACCCCCCACCCCUCUUGAAAACAAGACUAAGACCAAAACCACUCCACUUUCCCACACUUUCCUUCACUUUCCUGAGAAAAUGUCGAAGUGCAACAAAAUCCGUCACAUUGUGAGGAUCCGUCAGAUGCUGAGGCAGUGGCGUAGGAAGGCCCGGAUAGCGGCCUCGGCCUCCCGUGCGACGCCGUCCGAUGUUCCAGCGGGACACGUGGCUGA
rnacentral:lncRNA from 1 species